AAAAUAGGUAAUUUUCCAUUAUGGACAUUUCACUCAGGCUGUGACACGCUCUCCCACUACGUUCUCCCUCUUCGGUUUCUCUCUCGGAACCGAGAAACACAACUGUAAAUUCCACUUAUUCCGAUUAUUUUGGUAGCAAAUUGGUAACUUUUAACCACAAACUCUUCUUUCUCUAACCACAUCCCAUUCUCAUUGCUCAGCUUGUUUCACUGAGACACUCUUCCACUACGUGUCUCCCUGUUCGGUUUCUCUCUCGGAACCAAGAAAGAAGACUAUAACUUCCACUUAUUCCAAUUGUUUUGAAUUUUUGAAAUCCGGCGGUAGAAUAGGAGACAGAUUCUCAUGAACCACAAUGAAGUCAUCAUCAGAAAUUUCAAGGGGAAAGUUUUCACAAGAAACAUUAGGGUGAAGGUGAGGUGGGGGUGUUGAGUGAAAUUUGCGAUCUCAGACCUCUUCAAGUUGCCUCCUAGGCCCUCUCUGCAGGCAGAUUCCAUGUGAAAUGUGAGCUUCGAUGAUGAUGAUGAUGAUGAGGUUCGCUCGAGAAUGGAGAGAAGGAUUUGUUUUUUUCAAUCACAUGUAGUAAAACUUCUCAGUGUGUUGAGUUGUUCCAGCUUGAAAACACAUUAGUGAGCUGGAUUUAGUUCCAGAUUCAAACCAGUGAAACUGCUCUGCAUACUCCCUCCUUGCAGGGUCUCUCUUUGCUUUCAGGUAUAGAGGGAACAAGGUAGGUUUAGUGAUAAUAGUUUAACAAUUCAUAUUUUUCAAUAGUGUUUUGGGGAAAAAGCUACAUUAUAUUGACACUUCAAGGGUGGGGUUGAGGAGUGAAUGAGCAGGUUUAGGAGUAACAUUUAAUGAUCGAUUUCUUUCUCUAAUGUUUAUUUGAAAUGUGUAUACUUCGCAUUUCAUAGUAUCUCCCCUGUUUUGACUUCAAUUGGCGUGCACAGGGUGAGGUAAUAACUUUAUUAAUGCUUUUCUUUUAUUUUCCUCUCUCCUUUCCUGCCCUUCAAUGGUGAUAUGUAAAGGGAUUGAACUCUUAAAGAAUUUUUCCCUCUCUUUGGUUGUUACUAUAUUUUACCUUGAAUUUCACAAUUCUUUGUAGUUUGUUUGGAUGGUAGUCCUCCAGCAUACCAUUUAGAUAAAGGAUUUGGCUCAGGAAUUAACAAUUGGUUGGUUCAUCCUUCAAAGAAGCCAUGAUAAUGGGUUCUGAAGUAUAUCAGAAUUUGAAGGGUGUGAUAAAAAAGAAGUAUGGUCAAGAUGCCACGAAUGUUGGUAACGAAGGUGGCUUUGCUCCUAACAUUCAGGAGAACAAGGUCUUGAGUUGCUCAAUACAACCAUUGCUAAAUCUGGUAGCACAGUCCAGGCUGUUAUUGGCAUGGAUGUUAUUGCUUCUGAAUUUUAUCGGUAGGACAAAACGUAUGACCUAAACUUCAAGGAAGAUAACAAUAAUGGGUCACAGAAGAUCUCUGGAGAUGCACUCAAGGAUCUCUACAAAUCAUUUGUCUCUAAAUACCCAACUGUAUCCAUUUGACCAAGAUGACUAGGAACACUACAACAAGCUAACAUGUGAAAUUGGAGAAAAAGUGCAGAUUGUGGGAGAUGAUCUCUUGGUUACCAACCCAAAAAGGAUUCAGAAAGCC